rnacentral:lncRNA from 1 species
UUUCUCUCUCACAACUCACAAAACAAUCAGACCUUCUCUCUCUCGGCGCGACUCAAGAAAACCAUGCCUGCUAGAUCUAUCACCAGAUCCGUUUCAUGACCAGAUCUAUGAGCCACCGCCUAUUCCCCUCCGCCUUGUUACGCUGCUUCAAUCGUGGCUUCCCCUUCAUUCCAGGGCUUUGCUGAUGUAAGUAACCAUUGAGUCAAGAUCAAUCGGUGAUGAUUGUACCAGUUGAUUUGAUUGAAGGGUCGAAACUGAAUCACCUUUCAUGGGAUUUGAAACUCUAUGGAAUUGUUACAAUCAGAAGCAUCAAGCCCAAAGUCCUCAGCGAAAAUUACAUCAGAUUUGUUAAGUCAACAUACUUGGUGUCGUCGCUGACCCUAAUUUGAAACAGUUUCAUGGGUUUUUGUUUGUAAAGGUAUAAAUAUUUAGUAUUGCACCAUUUACCAUGAUUCUGACUAAUUUGGGCUUUGAUUUGAAGCCCUUUAUUUAUAAGUUUGCAUUUUGAUUUUGGAUUUUGGAUCUAUUUGCUUGUUUUUCUCGAAUUUGUCAUGACUGAAAGGUAAACCCUAAGUUAGUGAUUUCAAAAGUUGAAGCUUGGUGGUUUAAUUUGAUGGGUUGGUGUUAAGCUUGGCAGACGAAUGCUGAGUUUGAUACUAAUCAAUGAGCAGGUCACAUGCUGAGUUUCAUUAUUUUGAUACACUAUUUUUCUACGUGUUUUGACUGAAGUAACCACCGUUUAUAGCUGCAGAUAUUUUCGGAUCUGAAGUAUGAUAGGCCAAACGAAUUGAUGGAUCGGAAAAUUUCUAAUGAGAUAGAAGCGAUUGCGGCUGCUUAUCAUAUUUUUAGAAAUGUUGCUCAGCCUGGUUUCAUGUACAUUGAAGAUAUGGAUUUAAGGAGAUUUAUGACCAUUUGGCGCUGGUUCAGUUUUUUUUUUAAUCUUUUGCAUUUAAUUGAUGGACUAUUUGUUAUUUGACAGUUGAUAGUUGAAGAGAUGAAUAUCUUAACGACGGUUUUCUUGAGAUAUGACAACGAGAAGAUAUAUAAUCCGAAUUCGGUUUUGUAUACAAAGCCCAUUAGAAAUUUCUAUAGAAGUGCAGAUAUGUCAGAUGGUGUCGAAUUCUCUAUUGACUUUACAACACCUAUUGAGAAGAUUGGGCUAUUAAAAGACAAGAUGAAAAAGUAAGUUAUAAAACAUUUGAAGAGCUGAAGAUCAAAUACAAUCUUCGUCCCCAAGACAUUCAUUUGCAUAAACCAGAAACUACAAGCGGGCCCACCAAAUAAUUACACAACCUUAUGUUUAAAGGUCUCCUGAUCCGGUUACCGGGACUAGAAACCAGUCUUUUACGGAUACUGUUAGAGUUAUUCUAGGCAGAAAACACGCCUGGAUAUGU